rnacentral:rRNA from 1 species
AGUGAACGCUGGCGGUAGGCCUAACACAUGCAAGUCGAACGGCAGCACAGUAAGAGCUUGCUCUUACGGGUGGCGAGUGGCGGACGGGUGAGGAAUACAUCGGAAUCUACUUUUUCGUGGGGGAUAACGUAGGGAAACUUACGCUAAUACCGCAUACGACCUACGGGUGAAAGCAGGGGAUCUUCGGACCUUGCGCGAUUGAAUGAGCCGAUGUCGGAUUAGCUAGUUGGCGGGGUAAAGGCCCACCAAGGCGACGAUCCGUAGCUGGUCUGAGAGGAUGAUCAGCCACACUGGAACUUAGACACGGUCCAGACUCCUACGGGAGGCAGCAGUGUGGAAUAUUGGACAAUGGGCGCAAGCCUGAUCCAGCCAUACCGCGUGGGUGAAGAAGGCCUUCGGGUUGUAAAGCCCUUUUGUUGGGAAAGAAAAGCAGCAGGUUAAUACCCCGCUGUUCUGACGGUACCCAAAGAAUAAGCACCGGCUAACUUCGUG